UACAGAGGGUGCGAGCGUUGUUCGGAAUUACUGGGCGUAAAGCGCGCGCAGGCGGCCUUUUAAGUCUGACGGUGAAAUGCCGGGGCUCAACCCCGUGCCCGCCGGAGAUACUGGGAGGCUGGAGACGAGUAGAGGCAAGCGGAAUUCCGGGUGUAGCGGUGGAAUGCGUAGAGAUCCGGAAGAACACCGGAGGCGAAGGCGGCUGCUGGGCUCAUGUCUGACGCUGAGGCGCGAAAGCGUGGGGAGCGAACAGG
rnacentral:rRNA from 1 species